rnacentral:rRNA from 1 species
AACGAACGCUGGCGGCAGGCCUAACACAUGCAAGUCGAACGAAGCCUUCGGGCCUAGUGGCGGACGGGUGAGUAACGCGUGGGAACGUGCCCUUUGGUUCGGAAUAGCCCCGGGAAACUGGGAGUAAUACCGGAUAAGCUCUACGGAGGAAAGAUUUAUCGCCAAAGGAUCGGCCCGCGUUGGAUUAGGUAGUUGGUGGGGUAAUGGCCUACCAAGCCGACGAUCCAUAGCUGGUUUGAGAGGAUGAUCAGCCACACUGGGACUGAGACACGGCCCAGACUCCUACGGGAGGCAGUAGUGGGGAAUCUUAGACAAUGGGGGAAACCCUGAUCUAGCCAUGCCGCGUGAUCGAUGAAGGCCUUAGGGUUGUAAAGAUCUUUCAGGUGGGAAGAUAAUGACUGUACCACCAGAAGAAGCCCCGGCUAACUCCGUGCCAGCCGCCGCCGUAACAC